UCAGGAACACCGGGCGUGAGGUUUACUUUGGUUUUCUGGCAUCCAGUGGAACACUGCGCCGUUUUUACUGUGAUGCACAGAGGCAGCAAACAAUGCGAGAUGCGCGUUUGGGGAGAUCGCGUUGAAUCACCCGUGCCGUAUUGCCAACGUGCAUACACGCAGCAUUGCACCUUACAAUAUAGGCCUUACACAAGCUAUUGCGUGCAAUGACUGAAAAAAUAAACACGCUCUCAUUAAGCGGGUUGCAUUGCUCCUUGCGAAUAAAGACGUACAAUAUCAUGCAGUGAAAUAAAUAUUCUAUCGUACAAAA
rnacentral:lncRNA from 1 species